UAGGGAAUCUUCGGCAAUGGGGGGAACCCUGACCGAGCAACGCCGCGCGAGUGAAGAAGGUUUUCGGAUCGUAAAGCUCUGUUGUUAAGGAAGAACGAGUGUGAGAAUGGAAAGUUCAUACUGUGACGGUACUUAACCAGAAAGGGACGGCUAACUACGUGCCAGCAGCCGCGGUAAUACGUAGGUCCCGAGCGUUGUCCGGAUUUAUUGGGCGUAAAGCGAGCGCAGGCGGUCAAUUACGUCUGAUGUGAAAGCCCCCGGCUCAACCGGGGAGGGUCAUUGGAAACUGGUUGACUUGAGUGCAGAAGAGGAGAGUGGAAUUCCAUGUGUAGCGGUGAAAUGCGUAGAUAUAUGGAGGAACACCAGUGGCGAAGGCGACUCUCUGGUCUGUAACUGACGCUGAGGUUCGAAAGCGUGGGUAGCAAACAGG
rnacentral:rRNA from 1 species